rnacentral:rRNA from 1 species
CCUACGGGUGGCAGCAGUGAGGAAUAUUGGUCAAUGGACGAGAGUCUGAACCAGCCAAGUAGCGUGAAGGAUGACUGCCCUAUGGGUUGUAAACUUCUUUUAUAUGGGAAUAAAAUGUUCCACGUGUGGGAUUUUGUAUGUACCAUAUGAAUAAGGAUCGGCUAACUCCGUGCCAGCAGCCGCGGUAAUACGGAGGAUCCGAGCGUUAUCCGGAUUUAUUGGGUUUAAAGGGAGCGUAGGUGGAUUGUUAAGUGAGUUGUGAAAGUUUGCGGCUCAACCGUAAAAUUGCAGUUGAAACUGGCAGUCUUGAGUACAGUAGAGGUGGGCGGAAUUCGUGGUGUAGCGGUGAAAUGCUUAGAUAUCACGAAGAACUCCGAUUGCGAAGGCAGUUCACUGGACUGCAACUGACACUGAGGCUCGAAAGUGUGGGUAUCAAACAGGAUUAGAUACCCUUGUAGUG